rnacentral:rRNA from 1 species
UACGAAGGGGGCUAGCGUUGUUCGGAAUUACUGGGCGUAAAGGGCGCGUAGGCGGUCCCUCAAGUCAGGCGUGAAAGCCCCGGGCUCAACCUGGGAACCGCGCUUGAGACUGAUGGGCUAGAGUUCGGGAGAGGAUGGUGGAAUUCCACGUGUAGCAGUGAAAUGCGUAGAGAUGUGGAGGAACACCGAUGGCGAAGGCAGCCCCCUGGGCUAACACUGACGCUCAUGCACGAAAGCGUGGGGAGCAAACAGG